UCCCUGCCUGGAGCCCAAUACGGAGCUUGAAGUCAUGACCCCGAGAUCAAGAUCUGAGCUGAGAUCAAGAGUUGGAUGCCUAACCGACAGAGCCACCCAGAUAUCAAACAGAAGCACAAGGUUGUUGAGAGUAUGAAGAAAGAGAAUUCUUACUGUGUAGAUUCCAGGAGGAGAGUAAACAUUGUUUUGAAGGAAUGGUCAUUUGGAAGAGUGUAUCCCUUAACCAGUAUGAGAUAGAGCAACUGGCAGAGCACGACAUAUGUUCAUCAGGUGUCUGGAGCUCAUGUAUUUGUAUACCAGCAAAGACCAGAAGGUCCAAAAGUACGCACCUGAGAGUCAUGAGCAACAGGAGACAUAUAUGGCAUCUUUAGUAAAUGGAAUUCGGACUAUACGCAGAAGAUUGAAUUCCUACAAAGGUCAUUUAACUGCAGAAGACAGAGCCCAUACUUCACAUCAUAGAGCUAUGGAGAAUACAGUGUCAUACACAGAAUUGGUUUUCUGGCAUAAAAUGUACGAGAGCUUGAGGAUAAAACCUAGAUAAUAAGUUUUAUUUGGCACCAACAUUUUAACAUCAGAUCUUAAGAGGCCACCAAAACUAGGAGACAGAGAAAGCAAUUCUUCAAUGGCCAAUGGAGCUGCUUUAAGAAGCACGAGAUCUUCCUUCAUCUCCUGCCGAAUUCAAGACAGUCUCUCAGUGUACUUUUUUGCAGGGUAAAAUGUUCUGUAAUUGGAGAUGCUACUAUGAUAGUUUUCGAAGUGAGAUUAACAGGUGAGACACAUCAAGAUGCUUGUUAAAUUUAAGGGCAAAUUCCUUUACCCUUUUAUCAGCAGUAAAACCUUCCCAGAUGAUUCUUAAGCACAUCCAACUUUGAGACCUCCUGUGGUUAGGGUUGCAAAAUGUGAUCUAAAGUGGUUGCUCCAUUCCUUUAAAUAUUGGA